rnacentral:lncRNA from 1 species
UAAUGAAGUGAUGAACAAACAAAAAAAUAGAUUAUUUCAUUUAUGGAGUAAAUUUCGUUAUGGAGUGAGAUAUGAAGUUGGGUUAGAGCAUUUUUUACUCCAUAUUCACUUUUACUCUAUUUUAGAGGAAAAAAUGGAGUAUGGAUAGAGAUGCCCUAACGCCACAAUCAUAUAUAUAAUUUAUAAACUAAACGAUCUCCAAAAAGAAAUCAGAACAAAACAGAAUUACAAAUAUGAGAAAACAAAGAGUCAUAUACCCUUUUGUUAUAACACAUGAAAAAUAAGCACGAAUAUUAUUACCACGUGAAAUUCAUAAAACAAUGAGGAAACAAAACAAGUUUACGAGUUAAAAGAAAUCUUCAACAAUUUAAUAAAACACCUAAUCUUUUCUUAAUCACCCAAGUUGCAAACAAUUCGACUCAAAAAGCACUAGUCUACAAUUUAUUCCAAGCAAACACUCCAUAAACCAUAAACCAGUUUACAAAAAAAAAAAAAAAACACUCCAUAAACCAACAUAAAACAUCCAUUACGUUUAUCCUGUAAUUCUAUGAAAAUAAUAUUAGUGAAACUUCAAUAAUUAAUUUUCUUAAUUUUGUAAAUAUUAUCCAAUGAUUAUCCCGGCCCUUGUCAAAUAAAAACUCUGAAAUUGGGUGUUAUUUUUGAAUCUCGUAAAAUCAGCCGAAUAGUUUCCAAUGGUUGAAUAUUGUUUUUUUUUAACGUCUGCUAAUUAGGUUAGACCCAGUACAAAGGAGAAUGAGACCCAGUACAAAGGAGAAUGAGAAAACAGAGAAACAUUCAUACCUUCAAUUUUAAUAUAAAGAUCUACAAACUUAACAAAGCAGUUCUCUGAAGUUUGAAUAUUGUUUAGAAAUUAGAUUGUAGAUAUUGUCAGAGCAUCUCUAAUGUAUUACUGGAUUUUUAUUCUAAAAUGGUACAAC